rnacentral:lncRNA from 1 species
AAAGCAUACACAUGCAACUUUAAAAAAUUUUAAUGAUAAAAUAGUUAAAAAAUUUAGAUUCCAAAAAGAACCAUGAUUGCUAACCCUAAAGGAUCCAAAAAAACUUAGAUCACUAAAUUAGCUACUUAAUUAUUUUGUAGAAAUAUCUUACAGUCAAUGGAGCUAAAAGAAGAUGGUAUUUAGAUAGUGGCUAUUCAAAGUAUAUGAUGGAUGAUAAGGAUUAAUUUAUCACUCUUGAAAGAAAGAAAGAAAGGAGG